ACAGAUUUAGUAUAUUUGCAUCAACAAACAUUUCAUUGAUAAUAUUUCUUGUUUUUUUUUUCCCCCGACACAGAUAGUUGAUAACAAGCUAUUCACGGGAUCUUUCGAUGGAACACUUAACAUAUGGAACAUCAAGAAUGUGGCCGACGAGAUCAACUACGACACCAUCAUGGAGGAAGAAGAAAACAACGAAAAGACCCAGAUGCAGAUGGAAGAGAUUGAGAAAAUUGGCGGCUUAUAAAACGUUCUGUAAACCAAUAAUAUCGAUUGUGGACGACGACUUUCAUAUACAACCUUUAUAGACUGUAACUAAUGAUGUAUGAUGAUGUAUGACGGUGAAUAACGACUAAUGGACCAUUACAGAAACGUUAACAUGAUUGGAGUAGACUGAACAAUAAUGCUCUGAUUAAUUUAUUUUUAUAUAUUGUUAUUUAUUAGCACUGUUGAGACAUCGAAGACUUGGUUUUUGAAUUAACUUACAACACAUUCCUGAUAAGAAAAU